AACGAACGCUGGCGGCAUGCCUAACACAUGCAAGUCGAACGAGACCUUCGGGUCUAGUGGCGCACGGGUGCGUAACGCGUGGGAACCUGCCCUUAGGUUCGGAAUAACUCCCCGAAAGGGGUGCUAAUACCGGAUAAUGUCUUCGGACCAAAGAUUUAUCGCCUUUGGAUGGGCCCGCGCUGGAUUAGCUAGUUGGUAGGGUAAAAGCCUACCAAGGCGACGAUCCAUAGCUGGUCUGAGAGGAUGAUCAGCCACACUGGGACUGAGACACGGCCCAGACUCCUACGGGAGGCAGCAGUGGGGAAUAUUGGACAAUGGGCGAAAGCCUGAUCCAGCAAUGCCGCGUGAGUGAUGAAGGCCUUAGGGUUGUAAAGCUCUUUUGCCCGGGAUGAUAAUGACAGUACCGGGAGAAUAAGCUCCGGCUAACUCCGU
rnacentral:rRNA from 1 species